rnacentral:rRNA from 1 species
GGUUAAGCGACUAAGCGUACACGGUGGAUGCCCUGGCAGUCAGAGGCGAUGAAGGACGUGCUAAUCUGCGAAAAGCGUCGGUAAGGUGAUAUGAACCGUUAUAACCGGCGAUGUCCGAAUGGGGAAACCCAGUGUGAUUCGUCACACUAUCGUUAACUGAAUACAUAGGUUAACGAGGCGAACCGGGGGAACUGAAACAUCUAAGUACCCCGAGGAAAAGAAAUCAACCGAGAUUCCCCCAGUAGCGGCGAGCGAACGGGGAGCAGCCCAGAGUCUGAAUCAGCUUGUGUGUUAGUGGAACGGUCUGGAAAGUCCGACGGUACAGGGUGAUAGUCCCGUACACCAAAAUGCACAGGUUGUGAACUCGAAGAGUAGGGCGGGACACGUGGUAUCCUGUCUGAAUAUGGGGGGACCAUCCUCCAAGGCUAAAUACUCCUGACUGACCGAUAGUGAACCAGUACCGUGAGGGAAAGGCGAAAAGAACCCCGGCGAGGGGAGUGAAAAAGAACCUGAAACCGUGUACGUACAAGCAGUGGGAGCACCUUCGGGUGUGACUGCGUACCUUUUGUAUAAUGGGUCAGCGACUUAUAUUCUGUAGCAAGGUUAACCGUAUAGGGGAGCCGCAGGGAAACCGAGUCUUAACUGGGCGUUAAGUUGCAGGGUAUAGACCCGAAACCCGGUGAUCUAGCCAUGGGCAGGUUGAAGGUUGGGUAACACUAACUGGAGGACCGAACCGACUAAUGUUGAAAAAUUAGCGGAUGACUUGUGGCUGGGGGUGAAAGGCCAAUCAAACCGGGAGAUAGCUGGUUCUCCCCGAAAGCUAUUUAGGUAGCGCCUCGUGAAUUCAUCUUCGGGGGUAGAGCACUGUUUCGGCUAGGGGGUCAUCCCGACUUACCAACCCGAUGCAAACUACGAAUACCGAAGAAUGUUAUCACGGGAGACACACGGCGGGUGCUAACGUCCGUCGUGAAGAGGGAAACAACCCAGACCGCCAGCUAAGGUCCCAAAGUCAUGGUUAAGUGGGAAACGAUGUGGGAAGGCACAGACAGCCAGGAUGUUGGCUUAGAAGCAGCCAUCAUUUAAAGAAAGCGUAAUAGCUCACUGGUCGAGUCGGCCUGCGCGGAAGAUGUAACGGGGCUAAACCAUGCACCGAAGCUGCGGCAGCGACACUAUGUGUUGUUGGGUAGGGGAGCGUUCUGUAAGCCUGCGAAGGUGUGCUGUGAGGCAUGCUGGAGGUAUCAGAAGUGCGAAUGCUGACAUAAGUAACGAUAAAGCGGGUGAAAAGCCCGCUCGCCGGAAGACCAAGGGUUCCUGUCCAAGGUUAAUCGGGGCAGGGUGAGUCGACCCCUAAGGCGAGGCCGAAAGGCGUAGUCGAUGGGAAACAGGUUAAUAUUCCUGUACUUGGUGUUACUGCGAAGGGGGGACGGAGAAGGCUAUGUUAGCCGGGCGACGGUUGUCCCGGUUUAAGCAUGUAGGCUGAUUGUCCAGGCAAAUCCGGAUAAUCAAGGCUGAGGUGUGAUGACGAGGCACUACGGUGCUGAAGUAACAAAUGCCCUGCUUCCAGGAAAAGCCUCUAAGCAUCAGGUAACAUUAAAUCGUACCCCAAACCGACACAGGUGGUCAGGUAGAGAAUACCAAGGCGCUUGAGAGAACUCGGGUGAAGGAACUAGGCAAAAUGGUGCCGUAACUUCGGGAGAAGGCACGCUGGUGUGUAGGUGAAGUCCCUGCGGAUGGAGCUGAGACCAGUCGAAGAUACCAGCUGGCUGCAACUGUUUAUUAAAAACACAGCACUGUGCAAACACGAAAGUGGACGUAUACGGUGUGACGCCUGCCCGGUGCCGGAAGGUUAAUUGAUGGGGUUAUCCGUAAGGAGAAGCUCUUGAUCGAAGCCCCGGUAAACGGCGGCCGUAACUAUAACGGUCCUAAGGUAGCGAAAUUCCUUGUCGGGUAAGUUCCGACCUGCACGAAUGGCGUAAUGAUGGCCAGGCUGUCUCCACCCGAGACUCAGUGAAAUUGAACUCGCUGUGAAGAUGCAGUGUACCCGCGGCAAGACGGAAAGACCCCGUGAACCUUUACUAUAGCUUGACACUGAACAUUGAGCCUUGAUGUGUAGGAUAGGUGGGAGGCUUUGAAGCGUGGACGCCAGUCUGCGUGGAGCCAACCUUGAAAUACCACCCUUUAAUGUUUGAUGUUCUAACGUUGGCCCCUGACCGGGGUUGCGGACAGUGUCUGGUGGGUAGUUUGACUGGGGCGGUCUCCUCCCAAAGCGUAACGGAGGAGCACGAAGGUUAGCUAAUCCUGGUCGGACAUCAGGAGGUUAGUGCAAUGGCAUAAGCUAGCUUGACUGCGAGCGUGACGGCGCGAGCAGGUGCGAAAGCAGGUCAUAGUGAUCCGGUGGUUCUGAAUGGAAGGGCCAUCGCUCAACGGAUAAAAGGUACUCCGGGGAUAACAGGCUGAUACCGCCCAAGAGUUCAUAUCGACGGCGGUGUUUGGCACCUCGAUGUCGGCUCAUCACAUCCUGGGGCUGAAGUAGGUCCCAAGGGUAUGGCUGUUCGCCAUUUAAAGUGGUACGCGAGCUGGGUUUAGAACGUCGUGAGACAGUUCGGUCCCUAUCUGCCGUGGGCGCUGGAGAAUUGAGGGGGGCUGCUCCUAGUACGAGAGGACCGGAGUGGACGCAUCACUGGUGUUCGGGUUGUCAUGCCAAUGGCACUGCCCGGUAGCUAAAUGCGGAAGAGAUAAGUGCUGAAAGCAUCUAAGCACGAAACUUGCCCCGAGAUGAGUUCUCCCUGAGACUUUAAGUCUCCUGAAGGAACGUUGAAGACGACGACGUUGAUAGGCCGGGUGUGUAAGCGCAGCGAUGCGUUGAGCUAACCGGUACUAAUGAACCGUGAGGCUUAACCUU